rnacentral:rRNA from 1 species
GACGAACGCUGGCGGCGUGCUUAACACAUGCAAGUCGAACGGAAAGGCCCCUUUGGGGGUACUCGAGUGGCGAACGGGUGAGUAACACGUGAUUAACCUGCCCUUGACUUCGGGAUAACUUCAGGAAACUGGGGCUAAUACCGGAUAGGAAUCCUUGCUUCAUGGUGGGGGUUGGAAAGCUUCGGCGGUUUUGGAUGGACUCGCGGCUUAUCAGCUUGUUGGUGGGGUAGUGGCUUACCAAGGCUUUGACGGGUAGCCGGCCUGAGAGGGCGACCGGCCACAUUGGGACUGAGAUACGGCCCAGACUCCUACGGGAGGCAGCAGUGGGGAAUAUUGCACAAUGGGCGGAAGCCUGAUGCAGCAACGCCGCGUGCGGGAUGACGGCCUUCGGGUUGUAAACCGCUUUCAGCAGGGGCGAAGCUUGUGGUGACGGUACCUGCAGAAGAAGCACCGGCUAACUACGUG